rnacentral:rRNA from 1 species
GAUGAACGCUGGCGGCGUGCUUAACACAUGCAAGUCGAACGGAAAGGCCCAAGCUUGCUUGGGUACUCGAGUGGCGAACGGGUGAGUAACACGUGGGUGAUCUGCCCUGCACUUCGGGAUAAGCCUGGGAAACUGGGUCUAAUACUGGAUAGGACCACUUCUUGGAUGGUGUGGUGGAAAGUUUUUUCGGUGUGGGAUGAGCUCGCGGCCUAUCAGCUUGUUGGUGGGGUAAUGGCCUACCAAGGCGUCGACGGGUAGCCGGCCUGAGAGGGUGUACGGCCACAUUGGGACUGAGAUACGGCCAGACUCCUACGGGAGGCAGCAGUGGGGAAUAUUGCACAAUGGGCGCAAGCCUGAUGCAGCGACGCCGCGUGGGGGAUGACGGCCUUCGGGUUGUAAACUCCUUUCGCUAGGGACGAAGCGUUUUUGUGACGGUACCUGGAGAAGAAGCACCGGCUAACUACGUG